UGAGGAAUAUUGGUCAAUGGACGCAAGUCUGAACCAGCCAAGUAGCGUGCAGGAUGACGGCCCUAUGGGUUGUAAACUGCUUUUAUAUGGGGAUAAAGUGGGGAACGUGUUCCCUUUUGCAGGUACCAUAUGAAUAAGGACCGGCUAAUUCCGUGCCAGCAGCCGCGGUAAUACGGAAGGUUCGGGCGUUAUCCGGCUUUAUUGGGUUUAAAGGGAGCGUAGGCCGUUUGGUAAGCGUGUUGUGAAAUGUAGGAGCUCAACUUCUAGAUUGCAGCGCGAACUGUCAGACUUGAGUGCGCACAACGUAGGCGGAAUUCAUGGUGUAGCGGUGAAAUGCUUAGAUAUCAUGAAGAAAUCCGAUUGCGAAGGCAGCUUACGGGAGCGCAACUGACGCUGAAGCUCGAAGGUGCGGGUAUCGAACAGG
rnacentral:rRNA from 1 species